rnacentral:rRNA from 1 species
GAUGAACGCUGGCGGCGUGCCUAAUACAUGCAAGACGAGCGAACAGACGAGGAGCUUGCUCCUCUGACGUUAGCGGCGGACGGUUGAGUAACACGUGGAUAACCUACCUAUAAGACUGGGAUAACUUCGGAAAACCGGAGCUAAUACCGGAUAAUAUAUUGAACCGCAUGGUUCAAUAGUGAAAGACGGUUUUGCUUUCACUUAUAGAUGGAUCCGCGCCGCCUUAGCUAGUUGGUAAGGUAACGGCUUACCAAGGCGACGAUGCGUAGCCGACCUGAGAGGGGGAUCGGCCACACUGGAACGGAGACACGGUCCAGACUCCUACGGGAGGCAGCAGUAGGGAAUCUUCCGCAAUGGGCGAAAGCCUGACGGAGCAACGCCGCGUGAGUGAUGAAGGUCUUCGGAUCGUAAAACUCGGUUAUUAGGGAAGAACAAAUGUGUAAGUAACUAUGCACGUCUUGACGGUACCUAAUCAGAAAGCCACGGCUAACUACGUG